rnacentral:tRNA from 1 species
GGGGUUGUGGCUCAGCGGUAGAGUACUUGCCUAGCGCAUAUGAGGCCCUGAGUUUGAUCCUCAGCACCACA